rnacentral:rRNA from 1 species
CCUACGGGUGGCAGCAGUCGAGAAUCUUUCACAAUGGGGGAAACCCUGAUGGUGCGACGCCGCGUGGGGGAAUGAAGGUCUCCGGAUUUUAAACUCCUUUCAUGUGGGAGAAAAUUAGAAAGAUACUAUCACAAGAGGAAGAGAUGACUAACUCUGUGCCAGCAGCGGCGGUAAUACAUAGGUCUCAAGCGUUGUUCGGAAUCACUGGGGGUAAAGCGUGCGUAGGCUGUUUCGUAAGUCGUGUGUGAAAGGCGCGGGCUCAACCCGCGGACGGCACAUGAUACUGCGAGACUAGAGUAAUGGAGGGGGAACCGGAAUUCUCGGUGUAGCGGUGAAAUGCGUAGAUAUCGAGAGGAACACUCGUGGCGAAGGCGGGUUCCUGGACAUUAACUGACGCUGAGGCACGAAGGCCAGGGGAGCGAAAGGGAUUAGAUACCCCUGUAGUC